AUGCUGCGACAGAAGGCAGCCCAGGAAAAAACCUCCCCAGAGUUCAGGGAAUAUGCAGGCCAAUUCCAGAACUCUUGAGGAUGUUAGAGCUUGGAGAAGCACUUCACAAAGGCAGAACUGAAGAAAGAGGGAAAAUAUCAGCUUUGGUCACCUACUGCUUGUCUAGCUGUGCUAAAAAUCCAGAGGAAGACAGUUGUCAGGGGAAACAUUGACAAUGCAACCACAGGUGAGUAGGGAGUUCUUUAACUGAAAUUGCAGUUGCCAGACGAUGAUGAGGUUUCUCCUAUUGGCAUGGAUAUUCCAAGUGCAUUCAGGAGCUAUUUAAGUAUCUGAGAUUUUAUUAACUUUAUACAUGACUCUGGAAUAAUUAUGGUACAUUAGGGACUCACCAAUAAAUUUUCUCCUUCCAACCAUUACAGCUAUUUGCUUCAACCUCCAU
rnacentral:lncRNA from 1 species